rnacentral:rRNA from 1 species
UACGGAGGGGGCUAGCGUUGUUCGGAAUUACUGGGCGUAAAGCGCGCGUAGGCGGAUCUGCAAGUCGGGGGUGAAAUCCCGAGGCUCAACCUCGGAACUGCCUUCGAUACUGCAGAUCUCGAGUCCGAGAGAGGUGAGUGUAAUUCCUAGUGUAGAGGUGAAAUUCGUAGAUAUUAGGAAGAACACCAGUGGCGAAGGCGGCUCACUGGCUCGGUACUGACGCUGAGGCGCGAAAGCGUGGGGAGCAAACAGGAUUAGAUACCCUGGUAGUCCACGCCGUAAACUAUGGGUGCUAGCCGUCGGGGAGCAUGCUCUUCGGUGGCGCAGCCAACGCAUUAAGCACCCCGCCUGGGGAGUACGGUCGCAAGAUUAAA